UGCAGAAUCCCGUGAACCAUCGAGUCUUUGAACGCAAGUUGCGCCCGAGGGACCCUCCCGAGGGCACGCCUGCCUCAUGGGCGUUAGAAGCCCAUCCACGCUCGGUUGCCUAACGGCAGAGAUGCGGACAUUGGCCCUCCGAACCGCGAGGUACGGUGGGCCUAAGUGUGCGGCCGUCGUAUGUGGCCGGGAGCGGCGAGUGGUGGGCUACUGCGCACGUCACCCCGAGCCCCGUACCGACGCAGGGCCUUUUCCGACCCCUAACGAGGAGCUUGCCGCUGCAGCUGGCGCUGCGCGGCGCCUUCGGACCGAUACCCCAGGUCAGGCGGGGCUACCCGCUGAGUUUAAGCAUAUAAAUAAGCGGAGGAGAAGAAACUUACAAGGAUUCCCCUAGUAACGGCGAGCGAACCGGGAGCAGCCCAGCCUUAGAAUCGCGGUGGCACUGCCGCCCGA
rnacentral:rRNA from 1 species